AAUGCAUCGUUUGAUGAAAUUUGUUCUAAUGGAGUACAUAGAGAAUGAAUUAAGCGAUAUCAAUGUAAUCUUCAUUGAAAUAAUCGAGUGAAAGUAGAUAAAAUUUGAAUGGCCAUUCAUAUUGUUGUCGGUAAUUUGUAUUGAAAAAUGUUUUUUUGAAACUGGUGAGAGAUUUAUCAAGUAAUAUCACUUGAUCAUGUCGCCACAUAUUGAAAUUUUGAGAAGAGAAUCUCUAAUUUCUGUGUUAUCAACUCCGAAAUCUAAUGAUGAAAGAUUUGCCGAGAAAAUCAAGAAUGCACCAAAGGAUGCUUUUUCAAUAUGUUUUAUUUUCUUUUUCUUCAUGGGAUUUAUGACAUUGAUGCCAAUGAUAUUUAUCGGAACAGCAACUAAUUAUUGGAUGUUCAAGUUCAGAAAUGCCAGUGCACCAGCAGAUGAUGGAAACAGGACAUCAUUACAGUCUCUUUACCAGUCAGCAUCGUCAGUUGCCAUUUCAGUACCAACUGUAUUAUUCACUCUUUUAGGGACAAUUUACGGUAGAAAAUUUGACGCACGAAAAUUAAUUUUGUUUGCGUUGGUUGUCAUCUUUUUUAUUUUCCUGACGUUUUCAUCGUUCACUAGAGUUAACACAGACUCAUGUAAGUAAACCCACAACUUUUAUUCGAACUCAUAACAUAUUCUUCGUUUCUUUCUUGGUUCUAAUAUACAAUAUUCUUGGGACCAAAUGGAGUAUACCUUCCACGGAAUUGUAGGUACUAUUUGAAGGUAUCAUUGGAGGUGAAAUACGGCGGUACUUUAUAAUUUUGUCAAACAAAACCAAUUUGCACUGAAAUUUAAAUUCACGUUGUAGUCACUCAGCUUCAAAUUUGAGUGACUCAAAAAUAUAUCGAUAAUACGCAUAAUGGAGCCAUGUGUAUUCAACAGUUCCCAAAGUUCCGAACAGCACCAAACUGCACU